GAGGGUUUAGAUCAAUGGUAGAGCGCAUGCUUAGCACGCACGAGGUCCUGGGUUCAAUCCCCGGUACCUCUG
rnacentral:tRNA from 1 species